AUGUAUAUUCGAGUCAAGCGGAACAAGACCACCUACUUCAUACAGUGUGAUCCAACAGAGACAAUUUUGAAUAUCAAACAGAAGUUGCAGUCAAUAACAGACCACCCUCCUAAUAACCAGAGGUUGAUCUUGUUGGCUACCAACAAUAUAUUGGAUGACUCCAAGACGCUGGCUGAUCAAAAGGUGGAGAAUGACGCCGUCGUUGCAUUGGCAUUGAGAAAAGACAACGAGUUCGAGGAGGUGUCCAUCGCCGACCCGAGCGAUUUCAUGGCGUCCUCAUGA
rnacentral:rRNA from 1 species